AGUCCUGGGAUACCUACAACAUUAAAAAUCUCCUUUCUUCUCUUGUGAGUACGACUUUGCAUUCCCAAGCCAGAGGUGAUUUCUUUUCUGGAGCAAGGAAAGGAGCCUUGGAGUGUUUUUGACAGUGAGCUCACAAGGGACCUGUACCAAGGAGAGGAAACUGAGACACAAAGAGUUGCAGUAACUUAUUCAAGGUCAACAACUAAAAUAAAGCACCUUCACUUUA